GAUCACAAGCAAGUGGUGCCUUUGUCAAAGCACACUGGGCAGGUACGGUCAUCAAUGGAUUUACAACAUGAGUUAUUAGAUAAGAAUAGAAACAUGGAUUUGACUUGGUUUGAUGAAAAAUUCGAAAUCUAUAAUGGGUUUUCAGAGAAAAGCAAAAAUUAUGGGUGUGGUUCUUUAGAGAAAGAUAGGAUGUGGGUGAUGAC